UGGUUCGCCGCCCGCGAUGCUGCGAGAAGUCCAUUGAACCUUAUCAUUUAGAGGAAGGAGAAGUCGUAACAAGGUUUCCGUAGGUGAACCUGCGGAAGGAUCAUUG
rnacentral:rRNA from 4 species